GCUGGGCAUGGUGGUGCGUGCCUGUAAUCCCAGCUACUCAGGAGGCUGAGGCAGGAGAAUUGCCUGAACCCAGGAGGCGGAGGUUGCGGUGAGCCGAGAUCGCGCCAUUGCACUCCAGCCUGGGUAACAAGAGUGUUACCCAGGCUGUAGUGCAGUGGCACAAUGGUCUUGGCUCACUGCAAUCUCCGCCUCCUGUGUUCAAGCAAUUCUCCUGCCUCA
rnacentral:SRP_RNA from 1 species